AUACAGAGGGUGCGAGCGUUAAUCGGAAUUACUGGGCGUAAAGCGCGCGUAGGCGGCUUAUUAAGUCAGAUGUGAAAUCCCCGGGCUCAACCUGGGAACUGCAUCUGAUACUGGUAAGCUAGAGUUUUGGAGAGGGAAGUAGAAUUUCAGGUGUAGCGGUGGAAUGCAUAGAGAUCUGAAGGAAUACCAGUGGCGAAGGCGACUUCCUGGCCAAAAACUGACGCUGAGGUGCGAAAGCGUGGGUAGCAAACGGGAUUAGAAACCCCGGUAGUCC
rnacentral:rRNA from 1 species